rnacentral:rRNA from 1 species
GAUGAACGCUGGCGGCGUGCCUAAUACAUGCAAGUCGAACGAACAGACGAGGAGCUUGCUCCGCUGACGUUAGCGGCGGACGGGUGAGUAACACGUGGAUAACCUACUUAUAAGACUGGGAUAACUUCGGGAAACCGGAGCUAAUACCGGAUAAUAUAUUGAACCGCAUGGUUCAAUAGUGAAAGACGGUUUUGCUGUUACUUAUAGAUGGAUCCGCGCCGCAUUAGCUAGUUGGUAAGGUAACGGCUUACCAAGGCAACGAUGCGUAGCCGACCGGAGAGGGUGAUCCGCCACACUGGAACUGAAACACGGUCCAGACUCCUACGGGAGGCCGCAGUAGGGAAUGUUCCGCAAUGGGCGAAAGCCUGACGGAGCAACGCCGCGUGAGUUGUGAAGGUCUUCGGGUCGUAAAACUCUGUUAUUAGGGAAGAACAAAUGUGUGAGUAACUAAGCACGUCUUGACGGUACCUAAUAAGAAAGCCACGGCUAACUACGUG